CUCGGCCACCUUCAGGCAUUAUUGUCGUCAGAGUGGAAAUAGGUUGCAGCGGAAGGGCCUUCGUAACCCUGUGGCCCGUCUCUGCAUCAGUUGAGAAACCUAGGCCUUUGAUAACAGCCACCAAAAUAUCCUUCACUUGCGUGCAUUGGGAGAUCAAGGAUUUGCAGCAUCUGGAAGAUCACAAGGUCAUCCGUCAGAGCCUUACGCAUCUCUCAGCUGCUGGGAUUAUUUUGCAGGUAAAUGGUUUAUCUGGGAUCCUAAACUCCAUGGGAUAAAAACCCGAAGCGGUGU
rnacentral:lncRNA from 1 species